rnacentral:rRNA from 1 species
CUUAAAGGAAUUGACGGGGAGCACCACAACGAGUGGAGCCUGCGGUUUAAUCGGACUCAAGCCGGGAAACUCACCAGAUAAGACAGCUGAAUGAUAGUCGGGCUGAAGACUCUACUUGACUAGCUGAGAGGAGGUGCAUGGCCGUCGUCAGUUCGUACUGUGAAGCAUCCUGUUAAGUCAGGCAACGAGCGAGACCCACGCCAACAGUUGCCAGCUCGUCCUCCGGGGAUGGUGGGGACACUGUUGGGACCGCCUCUGCUAAAGAGGAGGAGGAAUGGGCAACGGUAGGUCAGCAUGCCCCGAAUUAUCUGGGCUACACGCGGGCUACAAUGGGUGGGACAAUGGGUAUCGACACCGAAAGGUGAAGGCAAUCUCCUAAACCCAUCCGUAGUUCGGAUUGUGGGCUGCAACUCGCCCACAUGAAGCUGGAAUCCGUAGUAAUCGCGUUUCAACAGAACGCGGUGAAUACGUCCCUGCUCCUU